rnacentral:rRNA from 1 species
AUGGCAGAUACUAAGCGGGGAGCGACCGCCAUGGCGCAGCGUCAGGAGGGUUCGGCGGAGGAGGGGGAGGAGCAUCGCCUGCGGGCGGCGCUGCGCCACCUGCAGGCGGAGGCCGGAGUGCUCGAGCGCCUUGUCUACAAGCACCGGAACCAGCACCGUGGCGCCGCCUACUUCCAGUACCUCCUCAAGGUGCGGAGGGACCUGAAGCUGCUUCUCAGUGCCAAUCUCGCAGAGGUCAUCAACGCGGUGUUCCCGGUCAUCACCUGUCGUAAGCCGGCAAACACCAUUCUUGUUCCGAACAGGCAGGGUAAGAGGAAGCCUGGUGCAAACCAUAGCCACUAUAAGAGGCUUUUGGGGGUCGCCCGUUUGCUGUCCCAGAUGGCUGAACCUGUUCUGAAGGGAGCAGUUCAGAUCAGCUUUUUACUUGCUAGAUCUUUUUUUAUAGAACUUUGCACUGCAGUGCUUGCUUUGCUUGCAAGAGUGAGGGUCCUGACCCAACAGAUGUUACUUGAUGUUGUAUCAAUAUACAAUAAGGUUACCGAUCUUACGGAUAAAAAGCAGGCUGUUAAGAUCAGUAUUGAUAAAGUACAGGCUUUCAGAGAGUACUACCCCUCGAGCAAUGAUCCCAGUACUAUCCUGGAGUGUGUAUGGGUGAAAGAUAAAUUUGUUUUGCAUGAAAAGACCAAAGCUAGCAGUCAGAAAACGCAAGAUGAGGAUCUGAAGUCGUGCACUCCAGAUUCAUCAAUCCAGUAUGAGACCCUUGGACUUGUUAGUGAAGAGACGGAAAACCUUGAUGGAGCAAACACCCCAGCCAAGCAACAGCAUGCUUCUCUGGCUGACCAACCAGAUAAAGCCACCCAUUGCGGCGAUGCCGGAGAUUCUCAGAGUGGGAGGCAACUACCAAAUGAUGAAAACACUCUGCGUUCUCUUCUUGGCACGCCUGCUGCUGCGCCGGCUCCACGCAGAGAUGUCGUCAAGCCUGAUACGAGGAAGAGAGUGGCAUUCAUCGCCGUGGGGAAAACAAAAGUCACCGUGACACCACCCGAAACAUCAUCCGUAGUUACCAAGAAGCAAAGGGUGGACACGAUUCGACAGACCACCACAGAUCCUGCUUUGUAA